rnacentral:rRNA from 1 species
UACAGAGGGGGCAAGCGUUGUUCGGAAUUACUGGGCGUAAAGGGCGCGUAGGCGGCCUUCUAAGUCGAACGUGAAAUCCCCGGGCUCAACCCGGGAACUGCGUCCGAGACUGAAAGGCUUGAAUCCGGGAGAGGGAUGUGGAAUUCCAGGUGUAGCGGUGAAAUGCGUAGAUAUCUGGAGGAACACCGGUGGCGAAGGCGGCAUCCUGGACCAACACUGACGCUGAGGAGCGAAAGCCAGGGGAGCAAACGGG